rnacentral:rRNA from 1 species
GCCUGCGGAGGGAUCAUU